rnacentral:misc_RNA from 1 species
UUCGGCUUACACCGGCAGUCCCGCCAGAGUGCCCAGCUUUACCUGAUGGCAACUAACGGUAGGGGUUGCGCUCGUUAUGGGACUUAACCCGACACCUCACGGCACGAGCUGACGACAACCAUGCAGCACCUAGUUUCGCGCCCCGAAGGGAAGACCUCUUUCAAGGUCCGUCGCUAACUUUCAAGCCCGGGUAAGGUUCCUCGCGUAUCAUCGAAUUAAACCACAUGUUCCUCCGCUUGUGCGGGCCCCCGUCAAUUCCUUUGAGUUUCAUUCUUGCGAACGUACUCCCCAGGUGGAUAACUUAUCGCUUUCGCUUGGCCACCGACACUGUAUCGCCGACAGCGAGUUAUCAUCGUUUACUGCGUGGACUAC